AUGCCUUCAUUCACUUUUUCUUGGCCUGAUAAGAUCUCCACAAGUCUGUCUCGAGUUAUUCUUGCUCUCCACCCCAAGUUUCCCCCUGCUUCCAAAACCAAAUUAUGCCAAACAAUAAACAUGCUUCAAAACUUGAAACCUUCAUGCUGCCACCUGCUACACGCUAGUCGUGCCCUGUACUAUGAACAACAGAAAGCUGCAACAGAAAAUGUAAAUAGAAACAUCCAUCAGCCCUGCACAUAA